AUUGAACGCUGGCGGCAGGCCUAACACAUGCAAGUCGAACGAGUGGCGGACGGGUGAGGAAUGUCUGGGAAACUGCCCGAUGGAUGGGGAUGACUACUGGAAACGGUUGCUAAUACCGCAUACCAUCAGAUGUGCCCAUAUGGGAUUAGCUAGUUGGUGGGGUAACGGCUCACCAAGGCGACGAUCCCUAGCUGGUCUGAGAGGAUGACCAGCCAACCUGGAACUGAGACACGGUCCAGACUCCUACGUGAGGAAGCAGUGGGGAAUAUUGCACAAUGGGCGCAAGCCGGAUGCAGCCAUGCCGCGUGUAUGAAGAAGGCCUUCGGGUUGUAAAGUACUUUCAGCGGGGAGGCGUUACCCGCAGAAGAAGCACCGGCUAACUCCGUGCCAGCAGCCGCGGUAAUUC
rnacentral:rRNA from 1 species